CUGGCACCCUCUUGAAAAUCCUCUUUCUUUUCCAACUGAACCAACAAGCAAUGGGACCUUGCAUCCAGAUAAUUCUACUCAUGCUGGAAAUGCCACAGAGGUUCAUCACAACAACACAGCUGCAGCAGCAGUGAAAUAAGACGCACCCGAGUGAUG